rnacentral:rRNA from 1 species
UAGCGGCAGGCUUAACACAUGCAAGUCAGGGGCAGCACGGGUAGCAAUACCUGGUGGCGACCGGCGCAAGGGUGCGUAACGCGUGAGCAACAUGCCCUAUACAGGGGGAUAAUCCCAGGGAAACUUGGUCUAAUAUCCCAUAGUAUUUAGAGGAGGCAUCUUCUAUAAAUUAAAGCUUCGGUGGUAUAGGAUUGGCUCGCGUGACAUUAGCUAGAUGGUGAGGUAACGGCUCACCAUGGCAAUGAUGUCUAGGGGUUCUGAGAGGAAGGCCCCCCACACUGGGACUGAGACACGGCCCAGACUCCUACGGGAGGCAGCAGUGAGGAAUAUUGGACAAUGGAUGGAAAUCUGAUCCAGCCAUGCCGCGUGCAGGAAGACAGCCCUAUGGGUUGUAAACUGCUUUUAUAUGGGAGCAAUAAGGUCUACGUGUAGACUGAUGAGAGUACCAUAUGAAUAAGCAUCGGCUAACUCCGUG